UAGGGAAUCUUGCACAAUAGACGAAAGUCUGAUGCAGCAACGCCGCGUGCGCGAAGAAGGCCUUCGGGUUGUAAAGCGCUUUUCUGAGGGAUGAGAAAGGACAGUACCUCAGGAAUAAGUCUCGGCUAACUACGUGCCAGCAGCCGCGGUAAUACGUAGGAGGCGAGCGUUAUCCGGAUUUAUUGGGCGUAAAGAGCGUGUAGGUGGUUUGGUAAGUUGGGUAUGAAAUCUCCUGGCUCAACUAGGAGAGGUUGCUCAAAACUACCAGGCUAGAGGACGGUAGAGGGAGGUGGAAUUCCCGGUGUAGUAGUGAAAUGCGUAGAUAUCGGGAGGAACACCAGUGGCGAAGGCGGCCUCCUGGGCCGUUCCUGACACUGAGACGCGAAAGCAUGGGGAGCAAACG
rnacentral:rRNA from 1 species